rnacentral:lncRNA from 1 species
AAACAUGUAACCAGUGUCCAAAAAAAUUAUAAUUGUAAAAACUUAAAAAUUACAAUCUUUGCCAAAUAAAUAAAAGUAAAUUAAAAAUCUACUACUUAAAAUUACGGUCCAAAAAAGAUAAUCAAAAUUCAACUCCGAUUUUAAGAAAGUACUUUAAUCCAUUAUAUAAGAGAUAAGUUAUAACACAAUUUGAUCUAUAUAUGUUUUUUUUUCAUCAAUAUAACUCAAUUUUUACUUUGACCGUAAAACUAAAACUAUGAAUUGUUCAACUGUUUCCACCAUUUGUACCAUAUUUUUGGUGUUUUCGAUCCAUUUUGAAACUUCUGUUGAAGGUAUAAGGUCGCAAUCAGCGGAAAUGUUGAACAAGAACCUUAAUAUGGCAAUGAAGGACGUCGUUUUAUUUAGUUCAUAUGGCAAUUUGUGACUUUAAUUCAUGUGAAUCAAUAUAGGCCCAAAUUUAAAUAACGGGCCUCACCCAGCUGCUCAUGCAUGGCAUGGCACAGCUCAAAUUUUAAUUCAUGUUUUCAUCAAUUUGUUACAAAUAAAAGUUAUAAAAUAGUUAUAUAUCCGAUGUAAAUUUGUUAGAAUUCAAUGCAAAUAUGUGAACGCAUAUUUAAAAUUACUUGUAACAAAGAAAUCUUUAACGAACAGAAACACAGAUAUAGUAUAUACAAAUU